UCAAUAAACUUAUGUCUGGAAGAAAGUGUAUGUAGACCCAUUCUUAGUGCAAAUUCCUUCAAGGAGUAAUUCAUCAUAAGCUUAAAAGAUAAAUAUCUUAAGAAAUAAGAUUGUACAUUAUUUAAACGGCAUAUAUGAUUAAGUUGAGAUAGAUUCUAAAUUAUGAACCCGUACUCUAUAGAUAUGAGCGUACUAGAGAGCAAUAUAAAGUUCUUAAACAUUGGAUAUUUUUGAAAUCAAAGCAUUGACAUCUAAUGAAUCCUAACAUGCGCAACGCCUUGCUGUAAAUAAAGAUGGAAUAUGCUCAGGGAAAAAGAGAUCAGCAGACAAAAUGAUUUUUAAAUAUCAACCCCCCCU